rnacentral:rRNA from 1 species
UACGGGGGGGGCAAGCGUUGUUCGGAAUUACUGGGCGUAAAGCGUGCGCAGGCGGUUUUGUAAGUCUGACGUGAAAUCCCCGGGCUCAACCUGGGAAUUGCGUUGGAGACUGCAAGGCUGGAGUCUGGCAGAGGGGGGUAGAAUUCCACGUGUAGCAGUGAAAUGCGUAGAGAUGUGGAGGAACACCGAUGGCGAAGGCAGCCCCCUGGGUCAAGACUGACGCUCAUGCACGAAAGCGUGGGGAGCAAACAGG